GACGAACGCUGGCGGCGUGCUUAACACAUGCAAGUCGAACGGUGAAGGGAUCAGCUUGCUGGUUCUGGAUGAGUGGCGAACGGGUGAGUAACACGUGAGUAACCUGCCCCCUUCUUCUGGAUAACCGCAUGAAAGUGUGGCUAAUACGGGAUAUUCUGGGUCUGUCGCAUGAUGGGUCUGGGAAAGAUAUUGUUUCGGUGGGGGAUGGGCUCGCGGCCUAUCAGCUUGUUGGUGGGGUGAUGGCCUACCAAGGCGGUGACGGGUAGCCGGCCUGAGAGGGGGGACGGUCACACUGGGACUGCGACACGGCCCAGACUCCUACGGGAGGCAGCAGUGGGGAAUAUUGCACAAUGGGCGCAAGCCUGAUGCAGCGACGCCGCGUGAGGGAUGGAGGCCUUCGGGUUGUAAACCUCUUUCGCCAGUGAAGCAGGCCUGCUCCUUGUGGGUGGGUUGACGGUAGCUGGAUAAGAAGCGCCGGCUAACUACGUG
rnacentral:rRNA from 1 species